GAAGAUUUGUGGAAGCUUCAUGUUUUCCUCUUUUAUUUAGAAAUACAGUAUAGACGAAGAACAGAUAAGCAAGCAAUCACUCCUACAGCAGGUAAGUACAGUUGCCAAUCUUGCAUCAGGGCCGCAAAGAGCAAUGGUACUUGAAUAAUAUUUCAGUUUUGUACAGGUCACAGAUCUCUCUUCCAAAUAAAUUCCAACUACAAAACUCCCCAAAGGUUUUGUGACCCUCCUCUCACUACUUGUGAGAGUCUUCUUCUAAAACAGGGAAGAUAGGCUUUGCAGCCAUAAAGGCACAUUAAGAUUCUUCAGUUAAUUUCAUGGUGUGCACUGCAGACUGCAGGAGGGAUCAGAGGUUCAGCCUUGGUAGAGCAAUUAACACUGGAAAAUCACAUACAAUUCACAUCUCACAUAUCAUAACACCUGUAUUCAAGCACUGCUUCGUCCACUUAGUUAAAGCUUGAACUGCCCAUUGAGCAAAUGACAGGUGAUGAUUGCUAACCAUUUGCAACCAAAACAGCUUGACAAAGGAUAGCCAGCCAAUAUCCAGAGCACCAUAUUGUAUUGUGACACCUUUUGCAUGGAACUGAGAGUGAAACUAUGGUAUUAGGCUGUCAACACUCUACUUUUUACCUUUUUCUGGUAAUGUCCUAUCUUGUAUUACACAAUGUGAUGCCAAUGCGAGUUUCCUCAUGCCACAAGAUUGGUUGUCAAUAGCAGAGAAGAGGAAAAGGCACUGUGAGAUAAUGUCACAUCCAGUAUUGUGUGAUAGAGGUCUGUAUCACCUGCACUUAAAAAACUGAGUUUCAUUUAGUGCUUCAAUACAAUUAAAUAAUUGUUAAUGGAAUACCUUAUGACUGAUCAAUCAGUGUGGAAAUUCCAUCAUUACUUACAUUUUUUGUGGAGGCUCCCCAGUGCAUUUUGGAAACCUGGAAAAGCAGGAGUCUAAAUUAUUUGGGAAGCAUUCAUGGAUUCAAAACGCUCCCCACUUCAUAUAGUCACUUUCCAUGACGUGAGGAAAAUAUAGCAAUGGAGAGGCAGACCUAGUGUGGCCAUCCACACUGCCCUCUGUAAAAUGCUUCAGUGCCCUUUUUGCGAGUCCUGAAAAGAGUUAUUGUCUCUCCUUCAACGUAGCCAGUGAGCUUGGAAAGAGAAGGUCAUCUUCCACUAACUACUUGGAAGAGAUGCCUGCUGUUCCUCUAAAUAGCAUCAGAAAAUAAAAAAUUUCUCCCUUUUACAUAAUUAGAGUCAUUCAAUGAAGCCAAAUGCUGGAAGACUCAGAACACACAAAAGGAACUUCUUCCGACAGUGAAUAAUUAAACUAUGGCAUUCGUUGCUGCAAGAUUUAGUGAAGGCCAACAACUUGGGUGACUAUGAGAGGCUUUAUGAAAUAUGCCAGAGGAAUAAAGUUGUCAAUUACUAUUAACCAUGAUGGCUGUGUACCAAUUUCAGCACUGCAGGUAGUAUAUCUCUGGGUACCAAGUGUUGGGCUUUACCAGUAGGCUUGGUGCUAUUGUGCUUAUGUCCUACUUGUGAGCUUCCCAAAGGCCACUGGUUGGCCACUAAGAGAACACAAUGAUAGAUAUGAUGGGCCUACAGCUUGAUCCAAAAGGACACUUCUUAUUUUCUUAGCUUCUGGGGGGUGGGGGUUGUGUACUGCUAGAUGCUCUGCAUCUAAUGAGGAGCUCUUUCCAGGCAAACUGGCAAGUAGAUUUGCAGGUGCUUGCCAUUAAAUAACUAACAUCAAAAACAAAAAAAGCAACAUCUUGGUGUGAAAAAAAUCUAAUGAAGAAAUGAAAGCAGAACGCAUAACAGAGCUGUAUAUAUCUUUUUGUGAUGGAGGCCACAACCGCUAUUGUGUUCGUUCCUUAGCAGCCUGCAAUUCCUGCCUUCACAAUAAUUAUCUCUUUUAUGGCACCAAAUGGGGGCUCAGCAAGGAGUUCUCUGGGAUCUUCUAUCUGAUGUAAUUUCUAAGUUUAAGGGGAAGCACAAGAUGAUCUGAGAGUAGCAUACAUUCCAGGGGAACGAAUCAUAUUUUCAUGGUGAUAAACCUGUUACUGCAGGAGGCAAUUAUUUCCAAUUUGGUUCUCUCUCCUGCCUCCUUGCAGAAAUGUGAAAACAGGGGAGGCUUAAGGGUUAUCAAACCCAUGGCAAGCUCUUUGGGUUUGAUAAGAGUACACUAUACCUACUGAACUCAGAGAUAACCUUUAAAAAAAUUAUGCUUGCAGAUGGAUUUAAUCUUUUUGAAAAUGAAGUUAUUUACUGUGGCAGGAUCAGCAUUAGAAACUUUGCUUAACAGAUUCCACCUACUCUCAAGAACCAGCUCACAAAUCACUGUUCUCUCACGAACUUUCUCUGAGGGCCAAGCUACAUGACUAACCUGGCAUACUGAAAAUGUUGGUUAUUCAGUGGCUCUGUAGAGAAUUGGUAUAUGGGAACAAAGUCCAGGCAAAGACUUGUCUCCAGAGUUGACCUAUUGAAAUAAAUGAACCUAAGAUCAUCAUGUUUAUUACUUUCAAUGAGCCUACUUUGAGUAGAACUAACACUGGUUACAACCUCCAAAUAUUUAAACAGGUUCACAUGUUACAGUCAAUGAGCGUACAGUCACUGUACACAAUAGUUGUGCUGCGCAACUCAACAAGUGUACACUUUCACAGAAAAACUUGUACAUGCAUAAAAACCAUCUGUUCUUUUAUUCAUUGUAACACGUGAACAAGCCUUUGAGUUGAAUGUGUAAGCCGUCCUAAAGAGAAAAACUCGGGGGAGCAAGGAAUAAAGAUAGUCUUUCUUCUCUUUUCCCCCAGCAGUUCCUCACCGUUUCCUACUUCUCUUUGAGUUUGCAUCCAGUCAAACCUAGUCAUUGCUCUUCUUCCCAAUUUUGGCUCAUCUGUACAUUUGCAAAUGCGAUAAGCUCAUAUUCCCCUGUUAAGAGAAACUGAGAUGACAUCAGGGGUGUGUGUGUUAGCAAAUGGAUGAACGCUGAAGAGAAAAGCUCACAUUUAAAAAUCUGAAGACCUUUAGAAACCUGCUCUAAUCUUUGUGCUCUGCAGAUAAGGACUGACCACUGCAUGAACUCCUGCAAUGAAAAUUUGGCAUAACAGUGAUGUAUUUGGAUUGUAAAAAGAUUAUUUCUUCCACCCAGCCCCCUUUCUCUCACACCCACUUUCAGUGUGGGAUGAUAAAUGAAAAGUUCAUCUUCAGCUUUCAAAAUAUAUAUUUAAAAUGUUGCAGUUGGGGGUGGGGUGAGGGAAUCAAAGGUGACAAAGAGCAAACAAGGAGCCAUCAGUAGCCAUGCCAAAAGAAAAUGUCUGUUGUCAAAUGUUGUCACUGGCUUCGUCUCCUAUACCUCUGAGUCUGGGGACAACUUUGACGUUAAUUUUGGUGCAAAAUUUCCUGUAAGGAACUUGAGCUCCCACCUCCCCCCCCAGACCUUUCCUUGACAUCCUGGGGACCAGGAUUUAUAUGAAAAGCAAGUCUGGUAAGGAAUUGCUCCUUCGUUCAAAGGCCCACCCCACUGCACAACACCUCCCCAUUGUUGUGAAGCAAUGUCAGCAACAAGCUUGAGGUUUCUGACAGACUCUAACCCAAAUUUCUUCUUCUUUCAGAAUAAAAAGUUUUUUGCACCAUACUGAAUUUUUAUUGAUGAAAAAUAGAUUGGAAAAACAAGAAGAAACAACCCCUAACAGUGCUUGAUUUAUAACACAGAACAUAACUGCUUUAUAAUAUGAUCAUGGGACAUCCACAAAGUAUAAAAUAAUGCAGGUGCAUAAGAACACGAAUCUGCAGGGAUUCUCGCUUUUGAUUUUCAGGCAUGUCUGGAAGUCCCUUUUAUGCCAACAGGCCUUUGGAGCUGUUUAAAUUUAUUAGCCAGCCACUUUCAAGAUUAUUUGUAUGGUUUUUAAUGGUGUUUUGUUUUUUACUGCUCUUCACCAGUGUUUCCCAAACAUACAAUGACCGUGUAAUCCUUUAGAAAGUUUAGUCUUACUGGGGUACCCCUUCUUCGGCAAAGAUAAUUUGGAGGUAGUUUUAAUGACACUAUUUUAUCUUUGAAUAAUUUUCUGCAGUUAAAACAACUGUGAUCAUGUUUUACAUUUUUUUGCCAUGUACCCUUUGAAACCAUUUCAUGUAUCCCUGGGUAUUUGAGUACCACACUUAGGGAAACAGUGCUGUACAUAAUAUUGAUAUUUUAUGAUAUGGUGGUGUAGGAAUACUGUUAUAAAUGAAUGAAUAACUCCAUUGGAGACAUCUACCCACAAGUCAUCCAGCCGUGUUUGUCGGGCUCCCCAGCUUGAUCUUAGUCGAGGAGCAAAGUAAUUCCUUCCUGCAUGCUCUCUUCACAAUGAAAAUCUGACUCUACAUUUCCCUAUAGUUGGUUGAGGAAAAACAAGAUACAUAGUUGCCUCCUAUGGAAAUUAAGCACAUGGCUCAUUUGGCAUUUAGUGGCAAAUAUCUGAAAAAAAUAGGCAUGGCUCCCAGGAAUAUAAUUAUAUGAAACAAAUAAUUGCAAAGUUCGAUGCUGUCUUCUACUUCCAGUGCUAUUAAGCAGGAUCAGCCUAUAAAAGAGAGAAAUCAUGUUUGGAGGAAAGCAUCUAUAGCAGCUGCUGUGCCCAGAAUUUGGUCUCUCUUCCUCAACUAACCUGUAUUGAUUACAGGUACUAUUUGCACAGAAUCAGGUAUAUAGGCCCAAAUAAUUCUGUAUUUAAUAGCUCUUAAAAGCAUUUUCAUGUCUUAAAGUUGUGACAGUCCUCAUUGUUUUGGCAUCCCCUUCAAUAUCCUAAACCAGAUUAUCUCUGCCUAGCACUGUAGGCAGAAACAUUAUGGUGAAGGGGAACUUUGGCAGCAGUGAAUCACUGCAGAGCAGCCAAAACAUAAAUAUAAGGAAGCUAAUAUGUUUGUUGUUUGAUUGUGUUGCUUAGUGAGCAACUGCCUACAACACUGUGCUUUUCCUUAUAUCUUAUUUUAGCUAUACAGUGGUACCUCGGGUUAAGAACUUAAUUCAUUUUGGAGGUCCGUUCUUAACCUGAAACUGUUCUUAACCUGAGAUACCACUUUAGCUAAUGGGGCCUCCUGCUGCCGCCGCCACACGAUUUCUGUUCUCAUCCUGAAGCAAAGUUCUUAACCCGAGGUACUAAUUCUGGGUUAGUGGGGUCUGUAACCCGAAGCGUCUGUAACCCGAGGUACCACUUUGCAGUUUUUUCUUUUGAAUGAAACCUGAAAAUUCAUGGAUGGGCUUAGGGAGGAAAUCAUAGAGCAUUCCUCAAGGGGACAAGCCCUAGUGGAAACCAGCCUUAACCCCACCAAUUCAUGUCAUCAGUUUAAAUGCCAUCAUACCAUGCAGUGUUAAUCAUGAGUUUCUUCUACCACAAGAGUGGGAAACCUUUGGUCUGGGGAUAAAAACAUAGCCCUCCAGUCCUCUGUAACCCAGCCCAGGCCACAUACCCCAAUUUCCAUACACUUCCAUACCCUGCAGAUGAAAACUGCAACAACAACAUUUAUACCACAUCCAUCUGACUGGGUAGCCCCAGCCACUCUGGGCAACUUCCAGCCUAUACAAAAAACAUGAUUAAACAUUUUAAAACUUCCCUGUACUGGGCAGCCAUGAGAAGUCUUCUAAAGGUUGUAUAGUUACUUUUCUCCUUGGCACAGGGGUCGCAUUUCUCCCAUGAAAAUAGGGAUGUCCUACCAUACUCUCCUAGAUUUCUCUGAUGACAAUAGGGACAUCCUAAGGCAAAGUUGGGACAUUCUGGGAUCAAAUCAGAAACCAGGAUGGCUUCUGUAAAUCCGGGACUGUCCCUAGAAAGUAGGGACACUUGAAAGGUCUGCACUUCUCAGUGGCUCCAUUCCACAUCUUCAAGUGCUUCUGCACAUUCUUGAACUUUGAGAGAACCUCUUGCUUAAAUGGAAAGAUGUGUGCAUGCAGGUCAGUACACAAACCCACAACAGAAUGUAGGCUACACCUUUUGCUCAGUCGACUUUUGCCUCUGGCCUUGCCCACCAGUAGCAUGUAGCCUUCAGAAGCUUGAGCUGUAAAAGGUCCCCCCCCCCCCGCUCUACUGCAGACACUGAUAUGGUCCAGUCUUGGCAGAUGUUGUCUAGCCUUUACUGAAUACGAAUCGCAGCCUUGGAGCUAUCAGAACAAGACCCAGCAGUGGCAGCUCUAAGCCACUUAGGAACAGAGUGCACUUUCUGCCAGAGUUUCCACAGACACGAAGUUUCAUCAAUCAACCAACUGUUUGCAGGGAUCUCUUUUUUAAAAAAACAAAAGCCAUUGAUGGAUAGAACCACUACCUAGAUCUUUAGAUUCAGGUGGAUGCAUGCAAUCCUCUGUGAGUACUUAAAGCAUCUUUAUUUUGGGGGGAAGAAACACAAAAACCUUUUAUCUUCUUACAUAUGACACACAAUGUGAGACAUUGGGGAAAUCUAUAUCAUAGGAUAAACCUGAAGAGACAAGACACAGAAUAGUCUGUAAACCUCUUCUGCAAACAAAAAGUCAUGUUGUGAGGUGACACCAGGGAUCUUGUUCAAAUCAAAGCAACCCAACAAACACAAGCCGAUUCAGAGCAAUAACUGAAAGGGUAUCAAAUUCCAAAAGACUAGCCAUGAAGUGGGCUAUGAAGCUGGGAGUUAUAGAUACCUGUCAAAGUUCAUUAGAAAACUAACCAGGAUGCCAAGCAGAAAACUAUGCAGUAGCUACAAGUGGUGAUAAACUCCAGAUUUUGGGUCCAUUUCACAGUGGAGUCCAGAUCUUUUUAGGUCAGAGUCGAGUCUGAAGUGGAUCCUGAAAGCAUCCAAGCCCAUCCAUGCCACGAACAUGGCCUGCCUCACCCCACCAUUUUGUAUUGGCCUAAGUAACUACAUACAACUAGGAGAACAUGUUUUGCCAUAUUUCCAUCCUGUGCCAGGCUCCAUCGUGUCCCAUUUGUGGGUGGAUCUUUUUAGGGAAAAUUCUCAAAAAUCCUUUAUAAAAACCCAUAUAGCUUUACAAACAAAUAAAAAUUUGUUUACUACAAGGAAGUCUGAGGCGGCAUCUUUCUUUCUUUUAACAUUUUACAGCUGCUUGGAGCAGGUCUGUUGCUGUGUAGUAAAAAUAUCUGCAUGUAAACAACUGUACGUGUGUACAGCUCAACUUCUUAUGUACACAGGUAUGCAGAUUGUACAUCUGUUGAGUGUAAUAUGUAAACAGCCCUAUUGUGUGAUGAGUUGUACUGUACAUGCAACUGAGAAGUUCCUAGCCUAUUGUGCGUACAUCCAGACCAAGUUGGAAAUAAUGUAUUGUUCCCAUGGCCCAACCCUUCCCACUGGCCCAGGCUAAAUGGGUUAUUGUGCAGGCAGCUUCAGGGAAGACCUCUUCCCCUGUUGGGAAACCUUCAGUCAGGGCUAAUUGGAGUCAGGGGUUGUUUCUUGCAUGUGGGAGCUUUCUAUUCAUACAUGCAAACAACUCUUUUAAGUGAACAUCAAAUGGACAUUCAUUGGGGGGAUGGGCCUAUAAUUGCCUCUGUGCAUUCAUUCAGUGAGCUCAGUGGAGUAGGAGACCAGCCAACCAGAAGAGUCUCUGAGGUGUACUUGCCUGGAGGCAGCAUCAGCAUACAAAGUUAGGUCCAGUCCAAGGGUUGGGCAAACAGCAGUCCACAUGGUCCAAGGGUCAAGGAAUCCAAUAAUUAUGGGGUCCAGGGUCAAGAUGAGCAGGAAGCUGCAAGGUAGAGCCAGGAACUACUAGCAGUGUUUCCAGCAUUUGGCUCUGCUUAAGAAGGCUGAAGCCAGCUGGUUCUCAUCAGUGCCUUCUCCUCUGUGUCCUUGAAGGCUGAUCAGCUGCAGGUGGAGUCACUCCCUCUCUCUUCAGGCUGCUGUUCUGCAGGUGAAGCUGAUUCCUGUCCCAUGACAGUAUACCCGGUUCUCUAUACUAUUGAGACAUCCCCAUGGUUUCAGCAUUUUCCAUUAUUGCUACUGCCUGUUUUUGUCCAUUGUUGCAUGAUUUGCUCGGCCCUUUUGUUCUUACUGUGCACGUUUUAAAGUUCUUCACUGUUAGCUGUGUUUAAACAUUGUUUUAUACAGUUCAAAUUGCCUCAGAAGGCCAUAUAUUGAGAUCUAAUAUUCAUGGUAGUGAUAUCCAUAUUUUAUAACUUGAAACAAUAAUGGCCCCACGACCAUCAAUGUACCAGAGAGGAAGAGAGAGCAAGCAUAAAACAGAGCUGGAAUGUAAACUCUCUAUAUUAAAAGGUGCCAAUAAAUAUGCAUCCAGCUGGAGGUUUGCAUAAAUGCUGCCCUGGUAUUAUGACAAAGGGCUGGAUAUUGUGUUUUAAAUUAUUAAAUGGAAAAUAUGCGCUAACAAAAAAGAGCAACAAGCCAUUUGGCAUUACAUAAUUCCCAAACAAAAUGCUAGCUUUUUAAAAAAAAAAAUGGAUUAAAAAUGCAAAUAAACUAGCCCUGUACAGCUUGAGAUCAACCAGGCCAAAUGGAGCUAUGAACUGUAGUGUGUGAAGCUCACUGGCCUCAAAAUAAAAUUGAGGUACCAUCUGCACUAAGCAUUGAAAGCAGUAUCGUACCACUUCCUCCAAAGAAUUCUGGGAACUGAAUUCACGCCUUCCCCCAAAGAAUUCUGGGAACUGAAGUUUGGUCAGGGCCCUGACAUUUGUUACCACAAACCCUAUUCCCCUCAAAGAGUUACAGUUUUCAUAGUUUAAGCACCAAUCCCUCUUCCCAAGGGACUCUGAGUGUUGGAACUCUGUGAGGAGAACAGGAAUCUCCUAGCAGCUCUUGGCCCCCUUAACAAACUAUACUUCCCAGAAUUCUUUCAAGGAUGCCAUGGCUGUUUAAAGAGGUAUGAUGCUGCUUUAAAUGUAUAGUGCAGAUGGUGGCUGCAUCACAAAUUGCAUGAGUCAUGAGCCCUCCUGUUAUGUACUGAGUUGAAUAGGAUCCAAAAUGCAGCAGUCUGAUUGGUCCUAGAACAAUAGGAUCCAAAAUACAGCAGUCUGAUUGGUCCUAGAACAGUAGGAUUCAGAAUGCAGCAGUCUGAUUGGUCCUAGAACAAUGCAGCAGUAUGAUUGGUCUGCAGGAGCCACCCAAUCCAGCUCCAGAUGGAAGUGAAUCCACAACCUGAUUGGCCUACAGGAGAAUUCCAGAAUUAGAUAAUCACGUGCAGCCCAUUGUGUAAAUAAUGUAUAUAAAUCAGAUACUUUGAGGGGACUUUCAUUUCUUCUCACCACUAUGAGCUGAAUAAAGAGCAUGAAAUCC